UACAGAGGGUGCGAGCGUUGUUCGGAAUUAUUGGGCGUAAAGGGCGCGUAGGCGGCCUGGCAAGUGGAAGGUGAAAUCCCUCGGCUUAACCGAGGAACUGCCUUCCAAACUGCUUGGCUUGAGUCCGGGAGAGGUGAGUGGAAUUCCCAGUGUAGCGGUGAAAUGCGUAGAUAUUGGGAGGAACACCAGUGGCGAAGGCGGCUCACUGGACCGGAACUGACGCUGAUGCGCGAAAGCGUGGGGAGCAAACAGG
rnacentral:rRNA from 1 species